GUUGGGACUGCUCAGGAAAUAAGAGGCAGAACAUGUGUGCGUGUUUUUAAAAAAAGCACAGAGCGCUUGCUGGGGACCCAGAUGCUUAUCCGGGCUGUUGGCCUGUAGCACAAAGUAGAUCCUGAAAGAAAAAGGAAAGAAAAAAGAAAGGUAUUCUCCAAGAAGAGAGGUCCUUUUAAAGAAUGAGCAUCAAGCAUCCACUCUAAAAGGAAGAUGGAGAAAGCCAGUGCAAGGCCUGCCUGUUGGGCAUCAUGUGGAUUUGCCCUUGGCUCUUGUGUUCACUCGGAGCCCUCUGGUGUCCCGUUUCCAGCUGGGCUGUGCACGCACCCUGGGGAUUCAGUGGAAGAGGAGCAAUCUGAAUCCAGCAGUGCUGAGAAAACCCAAGAGCUACAUGGCCAGCAUUUCCCAUCAGAGAGCCAACAGGGCCCCUGGUUUUGCCUUCCCGCCCACCAGCCCUGGUUAAUGGAGCUUUUGUUCUGCCUGAUGCUGCCUUGCUAAUCAGGGUGUAUCAUAUGGGAGCUAUCAGGAGAGCGGGGCCUGCUUCACAAAGGAACACAGGUAAUCUAUGAGUAAGCCUUCGUGGUUCGGUGACAGAAUGACAUCCUAAAGAGGGUGGAUGGGGUCUAUGGACUGAAGACACUAGGAAUAGAAACCUGUUAGCUCUCACUUAAGGGUUUUCAGUGGUUAUAUUAACCAUGACUUCCUACAUCUCUCUAAUAUGGAAAUGUCUGUGGGUUUUUCCAGCUUCCCAGAUCCCUUCCUGCUUUGAAGUGAGCUGUCAUUUUCUAGACUGUUGUUGCCUGGGAAACUGUGGCCCAGUUUUGGCCUCAGAAGGCAUUUUAGUGGGCUUGAAAGACUUUCCAAUUGCUACCCUUCCAGUAGGGGUCAUUGCUCACAAAGCCAUCUCCCUCUAAACAGCUCCAUUUCAGCACCAAAAGUAAAUGAAGCAGGAGGCUGUGUUUACAGGUUGGGGCAGGUUCGCAUCAAAUAUAUUUUUGAAAAAUACCAUGAAGUUCAGUGUUUUGUUGUAAUUUCCUAAAGGAAAGAAAAGCUGUCAUUCAUUCAUUCAUUCAUAUAUUCAAUACAUGCUUAUUAACAUUGUCCUAGGUGCUAGUAACAUAUGAACAAUAUGAACAAACUCUCCAAGUUCCUUCAGACUCUCAGGAGAGUUAGACAAUAAAAAUACCCAGACAAAUAAACAAGAUGAUUGCUUUUAUGAUAAGAAGCACUGUUUGAGUGCAGAACACAGUAAACUUGUGUCAGAGUGUUCUUUUCUCCCAAAUUAUGACAAAAAUGAGACUUCUGUAUUGUGCUUUACAACUAGCAAAGCCUUUUCAUCUAUAUCAUCCUGUCCUCAUAACAGCCUCAUUGGAGACACAGUGAGUAUUAUUAUCACUUUACAGAUGAAGCAAUGGAAGCACAGAGAGGUUAAGGGACUUGCACAAUGUCACAUGUCGAAUAAACUAUGGACCCAGUACUUAAAGCCAGAUCUUCUCACUCUAAAUUUAGUGCUCUUUUUUCCCUACUUUUUCAUGUCUCCACAUCUCCAAGAUUAUGGGGUUUGUGGGAGCUACUUUGAUAACAGUCAGGGACUGAUGAUUGAGCAGAGAGAGGAAGGCGGGUUAGUGGGGAGGCCUGGGGAGCCCUUUAGCCAAGAAUGAGUUUUUCACAAGAGCAGGAAAGUUCCUUAAGUGGCCUUUGGCUUUGCAGAGGCUCUGCUUCAUCUCUUCUUGACGUUGUCCCUGGGAAGAGGGGAGCUGGGGUGGAUGCGAUGGGGAAGGAAGGGAAGGUUGUCAUUUCAAUGUUGUCUGUUAUUUAUCCACACAGCCCCUGGGGCCCUAUUUUCAGACUUGUCUGCUUGCCCAGAAAGGGGCAGACCCAGGAUUCACAGAAAUUAGAAGCACAUACACUUGGCCUGGCCAACAGCAGUGAUGAAGAGAGAUGCAUGCCGGUUUAAACCAGUACCUUCAACAUUCAGGAACAGCACAGCUCCAGGAAGAGCAGGGAACUCUUCUGCCUGCUUAAAAGUGAAGGCCUCUAAUCAGAAUCAGAGCUUCAUUGAAUGUUAGAAUUGCAAUGGAUUUUGGCCAUGACAGUCCAACAACUUUAUUUCACAGACAAAGGACCGGGAGGUAGUGUGACUUGGCCAGAGUCAUGCAGUGAUUUAGUGAAUACCAGAGCUGGGGCAAGGAUGCAGCCCUUCUGACUCCUGACCCUUUCUCUCUCUUCCUCAUCAGGUUGCCUUUAGAGUUGGCUACAAAACUUAGAGCUUGGUGAUGGCUCAGGCACAAAAGAGCUGGCUGUACUUGAGGCUGACUUCCAUUCUACCUGUGACUAUUACAUUCAAGGUAGUGAACGCUUGAAGCCUCUGGCAUCCUGAUCCCAUGAUUACUGCAGAGAAAAGAGGUAAAUCAAGAACUGCUUGGGGAACAGCAUCAUCAUCGGUUCUGGCAUGUGCAUCUAAGCAAGGCGUGCCUCUCAGGAAGGAUUUCACUCUUUGUUGUAACUGUAUCAUACCUUUUACAAAAAGUCACUUUGAGGUCACUUUUUUUUUGUCCAGUAUUUCAA
rnacentral:lncRNA from 1 species